rnacentral:rRNA from 1 species
UUCCGGUUGAUCCUGCCAGAGGUCACUGCUAUCGGGGUUCGAUUAAGCCAUGCGAGUCGAGAGGGUUCGGCCCUCGGCGUACUGCUCAGUAACACGUGGAUAACCUGCCCUAGGGGAGGGGAUAACCCCGGGAAACUGGGGAUAAUACCCUAUAGGUUACAGAUGCUGGAAUGCCCUGUAACCAAAAGCUCCGGCGCCCUAGGAUGGAUCUGCGGCCGAUUAGGUUGUUGUUGGGGUAACGGCCCAACAAGCCCGUAAUCGGUACGGGUUGUGGGAGCAAGAGCCCGGAGUUGGAUUCUGAGACACGAAUCCAGGCCCUACGGGGCGCAGCAGGCGCGAAACCUUUACAAUGCGGGCAACCGUGAUAAGGGAACCUCGAGUGCCUGUAAACGCAGGCUGUUCAGGUGUUUAAAACGCACCUGGAGAAAGGGCCGGGCAAGACCGGUGCCAGCCGCCGCGGUAAUACCGGCGGCUCGAGUGGUGGCCGCUUUUAUUGGGCUUAAAGCGUUCGUAGCUGGGUUGUUAAGUCUCUUGGGAAAUCUGGCGGCUUAACCGUCAGGCGUCUAAGGGAUACUGGCAAUCUUGGAACCGGGAGAGGUGAGGGGUACUUCGGGGGUAGGGGUGAAAUCCUGUAAUCCUCGAGGGACCACCUGUGGCGAAGGCGCCUCACCAGAACGGCUUCGACAGUGAGGGACGAAAGCUGGGGGAGCAAACCGGAUUAGAUACCCGGGUAGUCCCAGCC